UAGCCGAACGGUCGCAUCGCAAGAUGAGGAAAGUCCGAGCAUCACAGAGCAAGGGUGCAGGGUAACUCCCUGUGAAGGCGACUUCAAGGAUAGUGCAACAGAAAAAAACCGCCCGCAAGGGUAAGGGUGGAAAGGCGAGGUAAAAGCUCACCGGCGACUUGGUGACAAGAAGCAGUGUAAACCCCACUCGAUGCAAGAGAGUUAAGGACUUCGGGCUGCUCGUCCGUCCUUACAAAUCGCUUGAAUAUGCAGGCAACUGCAUAUCUAGAUAGAUGACCGUUUAAGACAGAACUCGGCUUACAGACUAACCU
rnacentral:RNase_P_RNA from 1 species